rnacentral:rRNA from 1 species
AUUGAACGCUGGCGGCAGGCCUAACACAUGCAAGUCGAACGAGUGGCGGACGGGUGAGUAAUGUCUGGGAAACUGCCCUAUGGAGGGGGAUAACUACUGGAAACGGUAGCUACUCCCGCAUACCAUCGGAUGUGCCCAGGUGGGAUUAGCUAGUUGGUGGGGUAAUGGCUCACCAAGGCGACGAUCCCUAGCUGGUCUGAGAGGAUGACCAGCCACACUGGAACUGAGACACGGUCCAGACUCCUACGGGAGGCAGCAGUGGGGAAUAUUGCACAAUGGGCGCAAGCCUGAUGCAGCCAUGCCGCGUGUAUGAAGAAGGCCUUCGGGUUGUAAAGUACUUUCAGCGAGGAGGCGUUACUCGCAGAAGAAGCACCGGCUAACUCCGUGCCAGCAGCCGCGGUAAUUC